GACGAACGCUGGCGGCGUGCCUAAUACAUGCAAGUCGAGCGCAGGGAACUGACGGAACUCUUCGGAGGGAAGGCAGCGGAAUGAGCGGCGGACGGGUGAGUAACACGUAAGGAACCUGCCUCAAGGAUUGGGAUAACUCCGAGAAAUCGGGGCUAAUACCGGAUAGUUCAUCGGACCGCAUGGUCCGUUGAUGAAAGGCGCUCCGGCGUCACCUUGAGAUGGCCUUGCGGUGCAUUAGCUAGUUGGUGGGGUAACGGCCCACCAAGGCGACGAUGCAUAGCCGACCUGAGAGGGUGAUCGGCCACACUGGGACUGAGACACGGCCCAGACUCCUACGGGAGGCAGCAGUAGGGAAUCUUCCACAAUGGACGAAAGUCUGAUGGAGCAACGCCGCGUGAGUGAUGAAGGUUUUCGGAUCGUAAAACUCUGUUGUAAGGGAAGAACACGUACGAGAGGGAAUGCUCGUACCUUGACGGUACCUUACGAGAAAGCCACGGCUAACUACGUGCCAGCAGCCGCGGUAA
rnacentral:rRNA from 1 species